rnacentral:lncRNA from 1 species
UUUUUAAGUGUUUAUGUCUAUUCAUGCAUGUUUUACGUUAUUUUGUAGGAAUUGGGACAAAAGUUACUUGGGUCGACGUUUGGGGUGGCUAGAUUCGCGUUUUCGGCUUGCCAUUUACAUAGCAGUCACUUCAGAGCCAAUUUGAGUAUAGCUCCGGAUCUUAUUUUGAAAAACUUAAAUAAUGAAAGUUGUAGAUCUACUUCUCCUCUUUCUGGAACAUCUUGAAUCAUCAAAAUCGGAGUUCGGACGAAGAAG